CAAUAGCGUAUAUUUAAGUUGUUGCAGUUAAAAAGCUCGUAAUUGGAUUUCGGGUGGGACGCAGCGGUCUCGCAUUGCGUUUGUACUGCUGCAGCCCUCCUUCUUGCCGGGGGCGGCCUCUCGGACUUCACUGUCUGGGGGUCAGAAUCGGCGAUGUUACUUUGAGUAAAUUAGAGUGUUCAAAGCAAGCUUACGCUCUGAAUAUAAUAGCAUGGGAUAACACGACAGGACUCUGGCCUAUCGUGUUGGUCUAUAGGACCAGAGUAAUGAUUAAGAGGGACAGUCGGGGGCAUUCGUAUUCCGUUGUCAGAGGUGAGAUUCUUGGAUUUACGGAAGACGAACAUCUGCGAAAGCAUUUGCCAAGGAUGUUUUCAUUGA
rnacentral:rRNA from 1 species